rnacentral:tRNA from 1 species
GAGGUAGUGGCUCAGUGGUGGAGCGCUUGCCUAGCAUGUGUGAGGGACUGGGUUUGAUACUCAGCACCACA